rnacentral:rRNA from 1 species
GUGAGGAAUAUUGGUCAAUGGACGGAAGUCUGAACCAGCCAUGCCGCGUGCAGGAAUAAGGUCCUAUGGAUUGUAAACUGCUUUUAUUCGGGAAUAAACCUCUUUACGUGUAGGGAGCUGAAGGUACCGAAGGAAUAAGCACCGGCUAACUCCGUGCCAGCAGCCGCGGUAAUACGGAUGGUGCAAGCGUUAUCCGGAAUCAUUGGGUUUAAAGGGUCCGCAGGCGGUCUAUCAAGUCAGAGGUGAAAUCCCACAGCUUAACUGUGGAACUGCAUUUGAAACUGAUGGUCUUGAAGUAAGUGGGCGUUGGCGGAAUAUGACAUGUAGCGGUGAAAUGCAUAGAUAUGUCAUGGAACACCGAAAGCGAAGGCAGCUAACGAUACUUAUAUUGACGCUCAUGGACGAAAGCGUGGGUAGCGAACAGGAUUAGAAACCCGAGUAGUCC